UGGAUAGCGUGUGUUGGCCAUCAGAUCUGCCACCUCAAUUAAUGAGGGAGAUCUGAAGGCCCUCGUUUUUUUUCUAUUUUCUCUUUUAUUUCUGAUUUUACUUUUCAUCCAUUUAUUUUGUUUAAUUCAUAGAAAUUUCAUUUUUAAUCCAAAAAAUAUGGGACUUUCACCAAAAAUCUUUAAAUAUCUUUCUCUUCCAUAUUUUUAAUUUAAAUCAUUUUUUUGGAUUAAUUUUGAUAUUUUUCAUGAAUUAAAUGAUUUUUUACUUGUUUUAAAUAUUUUUAAAAUACUUAUGACUUUCCAAAAAUUAU
rnacentral:lncRNA from 1 species